rnacentral:tRNA from 1 species
AAAAGAAUUAGUUAAAUCAUAACAUUAGAAUGUCAAACUAAAAUUAUUAUUUAUUUAUAAUAUUCUUUA